rnacentral:tRNA from 1 species
UUAAUUGAAACCAAAAUAGAGGUAUAUUACUGUUAAUAAUAUUAUUGAAUAAAAU